CCUACGGGGGGCAGCAGUCGAGAAUCAUUCACAAUGGGGGAAACCCUGAUGGUGCGACGCCGCGUGGGGGAAUGAAGGUCUUCGGAUUGUAAACCCCUGUCAUGUGGGAGCAAAUUAAAAAGAUAGUACCACAAGAGGAAGAGACGGCUAACUCUGUGCCAGCAGCCGCGGUACUACAGAGGUCUCAAGCGUUGUUCGGAAUCACUUGGCGGAAAGCGUGCGUAGGCUGUUUCGUAAGUCGUGUGUGAAAGGCGCGGGCUCAACCCGCGGACGGCAGAUGAUACUGCGAGACUGGAGUAGUUGAGGGGGAACCGGAAUUCUCGGUGUAGCAGUGAAAUGCGUAGAUAUCGAGCGGAACACUCGUGGCGAAGGCGGGUUCCUGGACAUUAACUGACGCUGAGGCACGAAGGCCAGGGGAGCGAAAGGGAUUAGAUACCCGUGUAGUC
rnacentral:rRNA from 1 species